GUGGCCCAUUCCGGAGGCUUCUCAGCUUUUUCCAAGUCACAACCGCUGGGGACUCGUCUGCUCCCGAGGGCUCUGCCAGGAGCUACAGUAAACCAGCGACGUCGCCGACUGUUCCCAUCGCCACGGCCAGCAUGCAGCUCCUGAUCCUCGCCGUGCUGGUCGCCGGGGCUGCAGCAGCAUCCUUACAGGGAGUGGAACGCAUUAUCAUUGGUGGGAAGCCCGCAUUGCCAGCUCCCGGCCCUACCAAGUGGCUCUCGUGAAGGACGGCCAC